AGUGAACGCUGGCGGUAGGCCUAACACAUGCAAGUCGAACGGCAGCACAGUAAGAGCUUGCUCUUACGGGUGGCGAGUGGCGGACGGGUGAGGAAUACAUCGGAAUCUGCUUUUUCGUGGGGGAUAACGUAGGGAAACUUACGCUAAUACCGCAUACGACCUACGGGUGAAAGCAGGGGAUCUUCGGACCUUGCGCGAUUGAAUGAGCCGAUGUCGUAUUAGCUAGUUGGCGGGGUAAAGGCCCACCAAGGCGACGAUCCGUAGCUGGUCUGAGAGGAUGAUCAGCCACACUGGAACUGAGACACGGUCCAGACUCCUACGGGAGGCAGCAGUGGGGAAUAUUGGACAAUGGGCGCAAGCCUGAUCCAGCCAUACCGCGUGGGUGAAGAAGGCCUUCGGGUUGUAAAGCCCUUUUGUUGGGAAAGAAAAGCAGCAGGUUAAUACCCCGCUGUUCUGACGGUACCCAAAGAAUAGGCACCGGCUAACUUCG
rnacentral:rRNA from 1 species